GAUGAACGCUGGCGGCGUGCCUAAUACAUGCAAGUCGAGCGAACGGACGAGAAGCUUGCUUUUCUGAUGUUAGCGGCGGACGGGUGAGUAACACGUGGAUAACCUACCUAUAAGACUGGGAUAACUUCGGGAAACCGGAGCUAAUACCGGAUAAUAUUUUGAACCGCAUGGUUCAAAAGUGAAAGACGGUCUUGCUGUCACUUAUAGAUGGAUCCGCGCUGCAUUAGCUAGUUGGUAAGGUAACGGCUUACCAAGGCAACGAUGCAUAGCCGACCUGAGAGGGUGACCCGCCACACUGGGACUGAGACACGGUCCAGACUCCUACGGGAGGCAGCAGUGGGGAAUUUUGCGCAAUGGGCGAAAGCCUGACGGAGCAACGCCGCGUGAGUGAUGAAGGUCUUCGGAUCGUAAAACUCUGUUAUUAGGGAAGAACAUAUGUGUAAGUAACUGUGCACAUCUUGACGGUACCUAAUCAGAAAGCCACGGCUAACUACGUG
rnacentral:rRNA from 1 species